CAGCAGCCGCGGUAAUACGAAGGGGGCUAGCGUUGUUCGGAUUUACUGGGCGUAAAGCGCACGUAGGCGGAUCGAUCAGUCAGGGGUGAAAUCCCAGAGCUCAACUCUGGAACUGCCUUUGAUACUGUCGAUCUGGAGUAUGGAAGAGGUGAGUGGAAUUCCGAGUGUAGAGGUGAAAUUCGUAGAUAUUCGGAGGAACACCAGUGGCGAAGGCGGCUCACUGGUCCAUUACUGACGCUGAGGUGCGAAAGCGUGGGGAGCAAACAGGAUUAGAUAUCCCGGUAGUCCCUGUCUCUUAUAC
rnacentral:rRNA from 1 species